rnacentral:rRNA from 1 species
AGUAAAGUGGCGUACGGGUGAGUAACACGUGGAUCAUUUGCCCUAGAGUGGGGAAUAACGAUGGGAAACCGUCGCUAAUACCGCAUAAUCCCGAGAGGGGAAAGCAGCAAUGCGCUCAAGGAGAAGUCCGCGGCCGAUUAGCUUGUUGGUAGGGUAAUGGCCUACCAAGGCUGCGAUCGGUAGCCGGCCUGAGAGGGCACACGGCCACACUGGCACUGAAACACGGGCCAG